GAAGGUAUAGCUUAGUGGUAGAGUACACACUUAGCAUGCAUGAGGUCCUGGGUUCAAUCCUCUGUACCUCCA
rfam:Camelus ferus unplaced genomic scaffold scaffold2092, whole genome shotgun sequence.